GACGAACGCUGGCGGCGUGCUUAACACAUGCAAGUCGAACGGUGAAGCACCUUCCUUUUGGUGGGUGUGGAUGAGUGGCGAACGGGUGAGUAACACGUGAGUAACCUGCCCCCUUCUUCUGGAUAACCGCAUGAAAGUGUGGCUAAUACGGGAUAUUCUGUGCCUGCUGCAUGGUGGGUGUGGGAAAGAUGCGCCUUUGGGUGUUUUUGGUGGGGGAUGGGCUCGCGGCCUAUCAGCUUGUUGGUGGGGUGAUGGCCUACCAAGGCGGUGACGGGUAGCCGGCCUGAGAGGGUGGACGGUCACACUGGGACUGAGACACGGCCCAGACCUCCUACGGGAGGCAGCAGUGGGGAAUAUUGCACAAUGGGCGCAAGCCUGAUGCAACGACGCCGCGUGAGGGAUGGAGGCUCCGGGUUGUAAACCUCUUUCGCCAGUGA
rnacentral:rRNA from 1 species